GGCUUCCUGGGUAGAUGAUCCUUUCCCAGUUCUGACUUCAUCAUGCACUGCUGGCUGCUGGGUUGUAUGGCUUUCUGUCUCCUGAGAGCAGAAGCCUCCACGGACACUGGAAUUACCCAGAUGCCUAAAUACCUGGUGACAGUGAAGGGAGGAAAAGCCACCCUGAAGUGUGAACAACACCUGGGACAUAAUGCUAUGUACUGGUAUAGACAGGGUGCUCAGAAGCCACCAGAAUUCAUGUUUUACUACAAUUAUCAGGUACUCCUUGACAAUAACACAGUUCCUGGUCACUUCUUGCCUGCAUGCCCAUACAGCUCCCACUUGAUCCUGCAAGUGGACCCCAUGAAGCCAGAAGACGCCUCUGUGUACCUCUGUGCCAGCAGCAGAGACACAGCCCCACACAGUCCACUUCUCCCAGGUUACUCUCUGGAUCUCAACUCUACUCCUAACUGUCCUGCAGAAUUGGCAGCAAUCUUAGGGAAGUCCUGGAUUCCAUACAUUUUGGAACUUACAUUCUCUGUGAAAUUUCACUUUAGUUAUCUCUUAGAUAAGAAAUAA